GUUCGGUGGAUGCUCAGAACAUUUGCCCAUGGCUCUGAUAGAGCCUGUUCCUGCCUGGGACCCAGCCUUGCCUUACUUCAGGGCAAUUUAUUCGCCAUCAGAUCGAGUUUCUUCUUCUCUGCCAACAAAAAUACCAAUUGGGAAAUAAAUUUCAAAUGAGUUACUCUGUUUAAAAUCCUGGUUUCCUGACUAUGUAUGAAAGGCCAAAUUCAUGGAAACAGAGCAAAGAAGAUACACCUUGCUCCACAUGAAAGCCCCACAGGAUUGAGGAGUGGACUCAGUCUCAACUACUCAGGAUAUCUGGUUAGCUGGGCCACAGCUACUAAUACAUGCCAAGGAGGAAGUCAAGAUGCUGACAAGGAGAGGCAAUUACAGGGUGGGGAAAUGGUCCAUGGACAUAGACUGAGGAGCGUCAUGUGACAAUGAUCUAUUCCAACUCCCCGCAGACAUAUCACUGGCUCCAGAGGAAUUUAAAUGCAAUUGCAUCAGCAGGCAUCUGUGU